GACGAACGCUGGCGGCGUGCUUAACACAUGCAAGUCGAACGGAAAGGCCCUGCUUUUGUGGGGUGCUCGAGUGGCGAACGGGUGAGUAACACGUGAGUAACCUGCCCUUGACUUUGGGAUAACUUCAGGAAACUGGGGCUAAUACCGGCUAGGAGCUCCUGCUGCAUGGUGGGGGUUGGAAAGUUUCGGCGGUUGGGGAUGGACUCGCGGCUUAUCAGCUUGUUGGUGGGGUAGUGGCUUACCAAGGCUUUGACGGGUAGCCGGCCUGAGAGGGUGACCGGCCAAAUUGGGACUGAGGUACGGCCAAGAGUCCUACGGGAGCCAGAAGUGGAGAAUAUUGCACAAUGGGCGGAAUCCUAAUGCAGCAACGCCGCGUGCGGGAGAACGGCCUUCGGGUUGUAACCCGCUUUCGCAUGUGACGAAGCGUGAGUGACGGUAAUGGGUAAAGAAGCACCGGCUAACUACGUG
rnacentral:rRNA from 1 species